UAAAAAAUUUGUGCUACCCCUGUACUUUUUGUGUGGAUCUGCCACUUGCUGUGGUCACUUAUUUUGUUGGAGUUGCUUCUAUCAAUUGUCAUAUGUAGAUUCAAGUGCAAAAGAACACCCGGUUUUCUUCACACUUUUUACUAGAUUUAUGAUUGUUAUAUUGUCCAUCAGGUUGCUAGAGUGUCCACAAACUGUUGAGUCAAUAUGGGAGAAUACUUUUGUGAAAUUUGCAAAUAGGUGUUAUUUUUUCUCAUUUAAUAAUACUUUUUUUCCAGGGCAUUCAGGACCUUCCUGCAAUAGGUGUUAUUUAUGAUUUCCAUUGAACCAGCUCCUAUGCUUGAAGAUAAAGAGAAAUGGUUUGUCCGUUUCUCUUGUUUUGAUAUCUUCAGUUCUGAUUUUAAUUUUGUGUUUGUGUUUGCAUUUUUUGUUUUUAUAUAUAUUUUUAAUAAUGUUUCGUGUUUCAAGUCUCUUGUGUUCCGUGAUUUCAUAGCAAAAUGCCUUACAAAAGACCCUCGUAUUACUCCCACUGCUUCUGAGCUGUUAAAGGUAUGCUGGUGUAGCUUUAUCUUAGACAUUAUAUAAAUGACAAAUAUACCCUUCUGUUUGUAAUAUACACACUUCACUUGAAACUGCAUAAAUUCAUAGAAAAAUGAAAAUCUGGAGCUUCUGCAAUGUUGCCCAAGCCUGAGAAGGCAAAGAUAAAUAGGGCUGCUAUGGCUUUGGAAGCAGAACAUGUUGCUUCAGAGACUUGUAUACCAGGAUAUGGGGGAAUAUAACUAUAUAUUUAUAUUUAUAUCUAUUUAUUUUUUAUUUUUUUAUCUCUUUAUUUACUGUUGUGUUAUGCACACAGACACUUGGAGCAAAAAUGAAUGAUGAAUAUGGAGAUACUGGUCCAUCUAAGCCUCAAGUCCCUAAUGGGUACCUCUUGUGCUGUUUUGAAGUGGUGGGUUGAAGUUCUUAGGAAUCCUUAUGAGGGGAUCAAAGUGACUUACAUGUCAUCAUUUUCGAUGAAAUUGAUGCAAUUUGCAAGUCUAGAGGUUCUACUACGGAUGGCACAUGGGUGCACGAUAGCAUUGUGAAUCAGCUCCUUACAAAGAUAGAUGGUGUGGAAGCGCUGAACAAUGUGUAGCUCUUUUGAGGCCUGGUCGUUUAGAAGUCCAAGUGGAAAUCAGCCUUCCAGAUGAAAAUGGUCGUCUCCAAAUUCUUCAAAUUCAUACAAACAAGAUGAAAGAGAAUUCUUUCCUACCUCCAAAUUCUUCAAAUUCAUACAAACAAGUGGUUUGAUGGAAUCAACUUCAUAUGAGUUGGGCUGCCAAAGUUGAAUACACAAGUAAUGAUAUUGAUGAAAUCCGUGAAGAAUGAUCGAAUUUUUUUACAGACUUCAUUUACCAGUGAUAUUUUGUAUCCACAAACAAUAUAACAGUGAAAUGUUAGGUAGCAUUUGUCUUUUGAAGUGUGAUGUACAAUGUUUUUGUUAACUUUGUGAAAUAUUACAUAGCAUCUUCUUUUGACAUGUAAUGUACAUACAAUGUUUUUAAUAACUUGUUUAAC